AUGGCGAGAGAAGGGGGGAUGGGGGUAGAGGUGCUUUUUGAAGUUUAACUGAAAUUUCCUGGAUGCCGAUUUAAGCCUAAUCCUGGAAUGAAAAGCUAUUUCAAUGUACAUUCUUCAGGACUAUGCUUAAUUGGUCUCCAGGAAACUGUCCCUAAGAGUUUGAACUCGAGGUCAUUAACCUAUUUUCAUGGUUUGAAAAGAGGCGAAGGUAAAUCCCCAGGGCAGUCGAUGCAGAGUACCAAUGGUCAUAGCCAGGGCCCGUAAAGCGUCUGAGUAGGAGUGCUGAUCUGAGAUCAGUUUUAACCUUUUUGAAUCAUAUGAAUAAGAUGUGUCAACUGAUCCUAGAUCAGCACUCCUAUACCGAGAUGCUUUAUGGAUUUAGUUUGGUCUUGUUCUUUCAGUAGAACAGGACGUCUCACAAGAAGGACUUAGUGACUGAACUGUGCAUCGUUCAUAAAAUAGUGUUUUACAUUUUCUGAGUGGGCAGUAGAAGUGGCAUUGUAAUCGGGGACUAGUAUUUUACUCACAUUUCAUUAUCUGUAAGAACUGACAGAUGCUCCCAAAAACCUGUUUUUAUGUAUUUCAGCUUUGUAUAACAGACCGGUUUAGACCUAUGACCUAUGACCUGUGUUGAGGUUCCACAUUUUUAGCAAUGACUUCUCUUUUGACUUCUCUUUUUAGAUGCUAUUAUUUCUUUCCUACAAGUUAUUUCCUCAAGUUGUGACAAGGGUACAACAUCAAAAUACGCCCACCUGAACAUUUAACAUGGAUCCAUGUGGAUUCAAAUGUAACUGUGGCUUCAGCUGCAGGGCGUAUCCUAAAUGGCUCCCUAUAUAGUGCGGGUCAAUAGUAGUGCAUUAUAUAGGAAAUAGGGUUCCAUUUGAGAAGCAUGGAGAGAUGUCACGUAGAACACUGAGACAACUCUGUUCUUACCGGUGUCCAACGAGAGCUCUUUCAAUAAAGAAUCAACUCCUGUUUGAAUCGAUCUGUACUUGUCACUCUGUGUGACGGAAAUGUCCAUUUUUAUUAGGUGACUCACAUCGAGUGAUGGACUGUGAGGUUUUACAAUAACUUCUAGAAAUUGCAUAGAUGAACUCUAUCAAAUGUAUUUUAUAAUGCACUUUUUACAUCAACAUUUGUCACAAAGUGCUUUACAAAUACACAGCUGAAAACCCCAAAGAGCAAGCAAUGCAGAGACAGAAGCACAGUGGCUGGGAAAAACUCCCUAGAAAAUGCAGGAACCUAGGAAGAAAUCUAGAGAGGAACCAGGCUCUGAGAGGUGGCCAGUCAUUUUCUAGCUGUGCCAGGUGGAGGUUAUAAGAGUACAUGGCCACUAAAGCCAAAACAUUCAUAGAUGGUCAGAUAAUAGUACCAGUGGUUAUAGAGGGUGCAACAGGUCAGGACUAAAAGUCAGUUGGCUUUUCAUAGCUGAGCAUUCAGAGGUCGAGACAGCAGGUGAGAGAGCGAAAUAGAGACAGAGGGAGUUGAAAUAGCAGGUCCGGGACACGGUCAGGGUUCCAUAGCUGCAGGCAGAGCAGCCGUACAACCAGGUGGAACAGCCAGGAGUCAUCAGGUCAGGUAGUCCUGAGGCAUGGUCCUUGGGCUCAGGUCCUCCGGGAGGGGAGAGAGAGCGAGACCACUCUUCUAGAUGUAUGUACCUUAGAGUUGUACAAUGACAGAUCCCAAGCUUUUAAUUCCUGUAUUCAUGACAGGGUUUGAGCCCGAGUAGGCCUACAGUACAGCUUAGUGUUUUAUAGCAGUUUUGUAAUACUACUAAUGUCCAAUAGGUGGCAAUGUUGUUUUCCACUGUCUUGAAACAAUUGCAUUUGUGCUACCAUAGUAGCUAUUUAUCCUGCUUACUUUUUAGUAAUGCUGAAAACCCUACUGUAAAUGUUUAGUGCAUACUGGUACUUGCUAGGUCAAUGUGUUAGUAGCUUUAAUAAAAAUGGGAAUUGGAAACAGGAAAUUGCAAUCCUGCUCAUGUUGAUUUUUACUUAAUUUGUUUUUGUUGGGGGGUGGGGUUAUUACAAUGUUAAUUCUACUGAGCCAUUUACUUUGUGUUGGUUUUCUUAUCUUUUCUUAUUUCUUAUUAUUGUUGCAUUGUUCAGAAGGAACCUGCAAGUUAACAUUUCGCUGGAUGAUGUAUACCAUGUGUAUCCUAUACAUACGACUAAUAAAACUCUAAGCUUGCUGUGCUCUCUGGCCUCUGGGGGGAUACCUUCUAGUACGUCUCAAAUGGCACCCUAUUCCCUAUAUAGUGCACUACCCUUAAAAGUAGUACACUAUAUAGGGUGUAAUUUGUUCUAGAUACUGACUAGAACUGAGGGAGGGUGCAGAGAGAGGACUCAGACUGGAGCUGGUGAAGGUGCAGAGAGAGGACUCAGACUGGAGCUGGUGAUGGUGCAGAGAGAGGACUCAGACUGGAGCUGGUGAUGGUGCAGAGAGAGGACUCAGACUGGAGCUGGUGAUGGUGCAGAGAGAGGACUCAGACUGGAGCUGGUGAUGGUGCAGAGAGAGGACUCAGACUGGAGCUGGUGAUGGUGCAGAGAGAGGACUCAGACUGGAGCUGGUGAUGGUGCAGAGAGAGGACUCAGACUGGAGCUGGUGAUGGUGCAGAGAGAGGACUCAGACUGGAGCUGGUGAUGGUGCAGAGAGAGGACUCAGACUGGAGCUGGUGAUGGUGCAGAGAGAGGACUCAGACUGGAGCUGGUGAUGGUGCAGAGAGAGGACUCAGACUGGAGCUGGUGAUGGUGCAGAGAGAGGACUCAGACUGGAGCUGGUGAUGGUGCAGAGAGAGGACUCAGAGUAUAAUGGAAAAAGUGUGUUAAAAGAUGCUUAAAAUGUAUUCAAAUACCAUUAUUACCAAUUAUUAAUACCAAUUAUUAAAAUUAUUCUGAUUGUUGAAUUGUGUUUAGGAAACAAAGAUGUUAUCAUGUGUGUGUAUAGUGUGUACAUGUAUGUUAUGGGUGUACCAAGAGACCACUUAUUUCGGACGAGCAAUGUUUUCAAAUUUGUAAUGUUUGCA